UAGGCAUAACUCUACCUUCCCUUUGGCAGA
rnacentral:piRNA from 1 species